rnacentral:rRNA from 1 species
UACCCAGACUCCUACGGGAGGCAGCAGUGAGGAAUAUUGGUCAAUGGACGCAAGUCUGAACCAGCCAAGUAGCGUGCAGGAUGACGGCCCUCCGGGUUGUAAACUGCUUUUAGUUGGGAAUAAAAGGGGGCUCGUGAGCCCCGUAUUGUAUGUACCAUCAGAAAAAGGACCGGCUAAUUCCGUGCCAGCAGCCGCGGUAAUACGGAAGGUCCGGGCGUUAUCCGGAUUUAUUGGGUUUAAAGGGAGCGUAGGCCGGCUUUUAAGUCAGCUGUGAAAGUCCGCGGCUCAACCGUGGAAUUGCAGUUGAAACUGGAGGCCUUGAGUGCACACAGGGAUGCCGGAAUUCAUGGUGUAGCGGUGAAAUGCUUAGAUAUCAUGAAGAACCCCGAUUGCGAAGGCAGCCUGCCGCAGCGUUACUGACGCUGAAGCUCGAAAGCGCGGGUAUCGAACAGGAUUAGAUACCCGAGUA